rnacentral:lncRNA from 1 species
ACAAAGAUAAGAUUCUCCAACAAAGACAAGGAGACAAAACACUAUUCAAGUUUGAAUUUACAAAGAAAAGAAUUCUCCUACAACGGUAAAAUUCUUUAUUCAAGUUUGAAUUUACAAAGAUUUGAAUUUCUCCAACAAAGACAAGGAGACACAACACUAUCCAAGGCAAACACUAUUCAAAGACAAAGCUUGGAUUUAUGUGAGAAAUCAAGGAGCCAUCCAUUGAAGAUCCAAGGAUGGACAUUGAGUGGCCAAGGCUAUAAAUAGAAGGGUAAUCCCCUCAUUUCCACUCACCACACCAUAAGCAAACUCAAGAGCUUCCACUCCACACUUGUCCACACGUUUUUGCCAUCAAGCUUCCAAGCUUCCAAGUGCUCAAGUGUCCUAGCUUUCCAAAGCUUCAAAAGCUCUCCAACUUCUUCUUCUAAUCUUCUUGGUCAUUUGUACAAGUAAGAAGUGUUGUUUGCUUUGAUAUUCCACUCCUCUAAUCACCUCUUGUGUGUGUCCACUUUGGUUGAGAGGUUUGUCUCAAUAGUACCAAAGUGUGAGGUAAGGUUUCCGAGCUCAACCAUAAAGCUCUGUUUGGUUUUAUAGAGUUUCCAGGAAAACUCUUAGGUGUGAGUCUACCUGUAAAAGACUGGUUCCUAAGCGAAGUAGCCUUAAAGCUUAGAGAGGUUCUUAAGAGUGCCCUGUAAUACUCUAAGGUGUGAGUCUACCCGUAAAAGACUGGUUCCUAAGCGUAGUAGCCUUAAAGCUUAGAGAGGUUUUUAAGAGUUCCUUGAAUACUCUAAGGUACUAACUUACCCGUAAAAGUUAGAGGUUCUUAAGAGUGCCCUGUAAUACUCUAAGGUGUGAGUCUACCCGUAAAAGACUGGUUCCUAAGAGUAGUAGCCUUAAAGCUUAGAAAAGGUUUUGCCAUUACCUUUAGGCGAGUGAAAUCCGGCAGUGGGUCGGGACUGGACUAGCCCGUGUUUGGGUGAACCAGUAUAAAUCUCUUGUGUUGUUUUCUGUUAAUUUUAGUUCUAUCUUUUGCUUAAAAACAACACCUAAUUAAAAAGAUCCCUCUUCCAGUUAUCUGGUCAAGAACAGAGGUUGACUACUUUACGCAGAUCCCUCAUCCAGUUAUCUGGUCAACUAUCUGAGGUUACAUUCAUUGUUUUAAUCUUUAUAUUUAUUACUUAUCAUAUUUAUCCAGUUAUCUGGUCACUUACUUGUUUAUCAAAUUAUCCAGUUAUCUGGUCACUUAUUUACUUGUCAAUAUAUCCAGUUAUCUGGUCAUUUAUUUACGUAUCAAUUUAUCCAGUUAUCUGAUCAUUUACUCUACAAUACAAUUUGUGUUUUAAAUAUAACUUAGUAUUCAUAUACUAUAGUUGUGUUUGAAACAUUAUCAAGAAAGUUGACUCAGUAUUCAUAUACUGUUGUAAGCUUCACAGAGUAAUACUUAAAUUACUAUAUCAAUUAAAAUAAUAAUAUCCUUAUAUCAUUACUGUUCAACCAUUUGUUUAUUAAGUGUUUACAAGUAAUUCCGCUAUCAACCUGUAUAAAUCGAAAAGAGGCUAUCACCCCCCCUAUAGCCUCGGAUCACGAUCCAACAAGUGGUAUCAGAGCCAAGUUCCGUUGAAGUCAGACUAACAUCUUACAACAACAACUAUGGCUUCAAAUGGUGAAAACAGUACGGGUCUUGCAUCAAACAAACCUCCCAGGUUCGAUGGAGUAAAGUAUGACUUCUGGAAGAAUAAGAUGAAGUUAUACUUAAAGUCAAUCAACAAUGGAGUCUGGAAAAUCGUAUUGGAAGAUUAUGAGAUUCCAACAAGCAAAGAAGAGACUUGGGGAGCCAUGGAUAUCCUCAAGGAAAACAACAACUCAAGAGCAUUGAAUGCAUUAUAUGGUGCUCUCAAUGAAUCUGAGUACAGCAGAAUUCGAUGCUUGGAUACAGCUCACAAGGUCUGGAAAGCUUUGGAGGAUUUACAUGAAGGAACCUCCCAUGUCAAGGAAAAUAAGCUACUACAUGCCACUUCUCAGUUCGAAAGAUUCUCUAUGAGGGAAGAUGAGACUAUCGCAGAAAUGAACAUUCGACUAUCACAAAUAGUCAAUGAUCUGGCUGGAUUAGGGGAUCCAGUAACUGAGAAAAAGCAAGUGAGCAAGAUUCUAAGAAGCCUUCCAGACAAAUACUACUCAAAGAGGAAUGCUAUUCAAGAAUCUCAUGAUCUGAACAAACUCACAGUGGUAGAACUUUGUGGAAAUCUGAUGGCCUAUGAAGAAGAAAGAUUUGUCUCUAGAGCAAAAGAGGAGAAAAAGGACAUUGCUCUUAAAAGUCAAAGCGAAAAUGAAUCAUCUGAUGAUGACUUGGCAAUGCUCACAAAACAUCUAAAGAGAUAUCUCAUAAAAAGGAAAGAAAAGAGAAAUUCAAGGAUAAACUAUCAGAAUUCCGACAAAAGGGUGAGUGAAAACCUCAAAGACUUAAAGGAACCCAUCUGCUACGAAUGCAACAAACCUGGACACAUCAGACCUGAAUGUCCUCUACUAAAGAAAGAAAAAGCGUCAAGUACACUGGUCAGAUUCUGAGUCAGACCAAGAAGACUGCCUCAUGGCUCAUGAGAACGACUCUGAGGUAAAUUUUACAAAUACUAGAUUUAAUUCAUUAGAAGAAGCAUUUCUAGAAUUAAUGGAUAAAUAUAAAGCUGAUAAAAAAUUAAAUAAAUCAUUAAAACUAGAAUGCAUGAAUAGACCACAUAUUGAUCAUUCAAUAGAAUUAGAAGAAUCUCAAAAGGAAUGCAUGCUAUUAAAAGAAGAAAAUCAUAAACUCUUAAGUAAAAUAGAAAAGGGAAAUGAAAAAAUUAAAACACUUAAGAGUCAAAAUUUUGAAUUACUUGAUAUUCUAGAAUCUGAAGAAAAAGAAUCAAAUGAAAUAAAUGAUGAUAGGAUUGAAUUGUUAGAGCUAAAAAUAGAUAAUUUUGAGGAAACCAUUAGAAAUAAAGAAAAAGAAACUAUCAUGCUUAAAACUGAAAUAGAAUCUAAGGAUAAACUCAUACUUGAGCAUGAAGAAACUUUGAAAAAAUUAUCUGAAAAAUAUAAUAGCAUGCAAUUAGAAAUUAAAAGAAUAAAUGAGAAAAAUAGUGUUCUUCAGAAAUUCUCAAAUAGUUCAUCAAAGUUAAAUAAUUUAUUGUAAGGCUCAAACUUGGGUCAAAAGAAAUUUGGCUUAGGGUUUGAGUCAAAUACACCUAGUAACAAAACCCUAAGUGCCACAAUUUAUAAUGAUCAUUUUGUAAGGGAAUCUAGUUAUACAAAACCUUUGCAUGCUUCAAGAUACAAUAAUCAUUAUAGCAAUACAAAGUCCAUUCAUCUUAAGAAAAAGAAAAAUCACUCUAAGAUGAAUCAUCCAAAACAAAAAUGGAUGACUAAGGAUGAGCUAAGAGAUUAUACACAAAUCAGGUAUACUAAUCAAUUCGGACCCAACUUAGUAUGGGUACCAAAGAAUUUUUUUCUUUCAGGUAAAGCAUGUGUCAAAAUGAAUGGUCAACAAUGGAUGCACAAGGCACAUGACCGGGGAAUCAAGUCUACUAAACGACUUGAUUGACUUACCUCCUACUAAAAGGGUUAAGGUACAAUAGUAGGUAGGGGUAAUGUAGGAAAUAUAGAAAAAUUAUUCUUAAGAAAUGUAUAUUUAGUAAAUGGUCUAAAAACACAACCUGAUUAGCAUAAUUCAAUUAUGUGAUAUUGGUUGUGUAGUAAAAUUUAAAAAUACAAUUAUUUUAUCACUAACUCUGAGGGAGUUAUCAUUGCCAUAGGACAUAGAAAAAGCAAUGCUUAUUCUAUAAAAAUUUGAUAGAAUCCCUACACAUUGACUUUAAUGAGUCCAUCUCUGCUCAAAAGAAGGAGGAGUUAAAGUCAUACCAUCUGACACUCCCAUAGAAAGAGAUGAUCAGAAAAUAAUCAUCUCUGAACAGGCAUCAAAUAGGAAACUCAGAAACUCAGAUCCCGCAAAACAAAUCAUUGGAGAUCAACACAUAUCCUAGAGUGUUUUGUAUCUCAAAUAAAGCCUAAAUAGAUCUAUGUAUGCAUGCCUAGCAAAUGUUACAAUAUUAUGCAUAUAUAUACACGCAUAUGGUCCUUAAAGAUAUGUUUCAAGCUUAGCAUAAUACUAUGACUUAUCUAUAAGAAAAUGAAUCAUAUGCAUGCAUACAUGAUAGUCAAACAGCUGGUUUUGACUUAAGUGUAUAAUUAAGAAAAUUAUAAAAUUAAUUCUACAUCAAUUAAUUCUACAUCAAUUGAUUAUCUUUGAAUAAUGUUAUGAAUUUUCUCAAGCUAAUGAACUAUACUCAAUGCAUGAAAACUAAGCUCAUACAUAUCUGUUUCAUGUAUUGAUAAAUAUGUGCAUAUAAAAUUAACAUGAUCUAAUCAUUCAUAUACUAUGCUUCCAUUCUACAUAUCAUAUGCACUCAUCAUGCAUCAAACAAUUGAUUAUCUGUGGAUAAUGCCCUCAUGUUAAUGCUAUUUAAAAAUCAUAAAUCUGAUCCUAUGCAUUUCUGUCUUACACCUGUAUGCUUAUGAUCUUUUGAUUAACACAUGCAAAGCAAAAUACAUGCAUACAAGAUGAACACUCAAAAAGUGUUGACUCAUGCCAUGUCACCACGAAUUUACAUGAAUAUGCAAAUCUAUAUAUCUAUCCUAAAGAACAGGUGGGACAGGCAAACAUGCCAAUUGUUAAAAGUAUGACAAAUCUCCUUGAAAAACCAAACAUUCUCGACGUUGGUGAAAGAACUUCCAAGCUAACACCUGCACACUAGCAACAUUGGAAUUGAAGAUUCAGCCACCAUCUUCAACACAUCCAUCACUUGUGACUCUAUCCAGAGAAUGAUCUGCAAAGAAGCUCCUCGCAACAAGUGCUGACAAAAGACAAAUUCUUGCUCUUGCACACAUCAAUCCUCAUCUGCAAAAUCAAAAUAUCAGCUGCAAAAGCCUAAGCAUGGAAGAGUGUGAAAGAUGUGUUGGACUACUAAAAAGGUAAGGUAUGAUCUAAAUAGUUAAAUAAAUAGUUUUUCAAAUCUUAACUUAAAUCUAUUAAACAAAAUCCCUAGAUAAAUCUAAAUGAUUUGACUCUCCAAGACAUGUGUCAUGGAGUAUUGAAAAACAAACCCUAAAUUGCUAAUUCUACACGGGUAGGCAUGACUUAAAGCUUGUCAAGCUUUACAAGUUAAAAUUCUGGACAGACAAGAUCUGCCAAAAGGAAGAACAAUCACAUCUUCUUCUUCUUCUUUCUCCUAAUAGGGUUUAUUGGAAAGCAAACCCUAAAAGCCAACCAUUCAAAAGUUAAACACAAAAUUGGCUUUAUCUAAAUUCAGAACUGAGUGACAUCUAAAAAGAAAAUUUCUGUCUAAGAAGUGAUAGACAUCUAAAAGGAAAAGAUUUCUGUCUAGGAAAUAUUGAAAUGUUUGAAUCUUUUCAAGAUUCACCAAGCAACGUUUAGGAAAUCAAACCCUAAAGCUGCUGACCUUCAAAAGAUGUCUUCAUUACUUGUAACUCCACAAGUAAUAUCAGUCUAUAAAGAUUCUGGACAGACCAUUUAGAUAAGCUUGAGGUGAAUCAAUUCACUAUAUAAGCACAGGAAGAUAAACAACUAUAUCAUCUUCUUCCAUCUUAAGAUACUCCCAAGGAUGUUGAUUGAAGAAAUCAAUCCAGAGAAGAGGGAGCUCACAAUCAUACCAGACUGUCCUUCCAGUCCAGUAUACAACCCUAAUCCCUCAAGCAGCAAUGUCAUCCGGAAGAAACGCUCUAGGAGGAUUCCAGUGUCAGAAAUGUUCCGGGGAACACCAACUUGGGUCUCUUCAAUAGCUAAGUUCUCCUAUGAUCUCAUUCUCGAGCAAAGAAUGAUCUUUGAGGAACCUGUUCUACUCAGAUCUCUCAACUGCAGGGUGAUUGAAGGGCUACUGAACUUCAAUAGGCUUACUGACUAUCUUGAGAACAUAGGGCAACUAAGAAUCUACAAAUCUGAGUUGGCUCAGUUCUACGCGAAUCUCAAGUAUGAGACAGUAGGUUCUCAAGUGAUCACCACUAAAGUAAAUGGAAUAUCUCUCAUUCUAGGAGCUAAUAAACUUGGAGUAUGGAUAAACCUUCCCAACAAUGGAGUGAAGCUUCAAAAUUACAGAAGGCUGGAUGAGCUACCUUUCAAGUGCAGCUGGGAGAUUCUCUGGAAUACUCUCACUCACAGGUACAACCCUAAGAGCACUGAUAGAAUCCUAAAGACAAUGCUCAUACCAGAAGCUUCAAUUUUUCUGAAGAUCAUCUCAUACAACAUUUAUCCUCAAGUUGAAGAUAGAGAAGAACCAUCAACAUCGAUCUUAGUAGCAAUCUACUGUCUGCUGUCAAAGAUUAGAGUGAACUGGGUAUCACUAAUCAUGCACAAUAUGGCUACAUCAACCAAGAACACUGGAGCUCGCUACUACCCAAGGAUGAUUUCAAAAUUACUCAGUCCAGGGUACUUUGGAAUUCCACUCUAUCCUCAUCCUAUCAUAUCUCACAUCCAGCCAUUCACUGCAAGCUCUUUCCAAAAGACUUGGAGGAACACCUAUGAUCCAAACUCACCAAACACUAAUGUGUUUCUGAAUGAAGAAGUCAUAAGAGUUAGACAUCAAGUAAGGAUGCUGGAGAAAGGAAUGGGAGAUCUGGAAGAGAUGGUUUCUUUGACAAGGCAACAGCUAGAUGAUGAAAGGGAGUACAACCUGGAGCUUGCAACUCUAUUUCACGAGUUUAACUCCAAGGUCAUUCCAACCAUGCAUCACCAUGACUGAACUACUCUGUCCUAAAAAGAAGUUUGAUGUUUUGAGUUUGUAUUUUGUUUUAUUUUGAAGAUCUAGCCAUGGAUCUUGAUCUCAUGUGCUUGAGAUUGAACCAUAUGCUACUCUCUUAUGUUAUGUGUUUUCUUUGAAGUUAAAGAAGUUCUAUGAUUUUAAGUUUAUCAACAUAAGGGUAUGCAUGCAUAAAGAAAAACAUAAUGUUAGAAAUAUCUUUAGUUAAUACUUCAGGGCAUAAUUAAAAUUCUUUUGAAGUAUUAAUCGACUUGUUUAAAAGUCAUAAACUUUAAACUUCAAGGGAUUAAACAUAAAUUAUGUUUGAAGUCUCUAAGUUUAGAAUAAUUCACUGAAAGCUUAAGGAUUAAAGUGAGUAAAUAUAAAAUUCUAUGAAACUUCAAGGGCUUGAACAUAAAUUAUGUUUGAAGUUUCUAAGUUUAGAAUAAUUCACUGAAUACUUAAGGACUAAAGUGAUAUUUUCCAGUGAAUAUAGUUUUAUGAAACUUCAAGGGCUUAAACAUAAAUUAUGUAUGAAGUUCUUAAGUUUUAUGGAUUCACUGAAUACUUAAGGAUCAAAAAUAUAUUUUUCAGUGAAUAUAAACUUAGUUAAAACUUCAGGGACUUAAACGAAAAUCGUUUAUGAAGUUUUUAAGUUUUAAUGGAUUCACUGAAUACUUAAUUAAGGAUCAAAAAUAUAUUUUUCAGUGAAUAUAAAUUUAGUUAAAACUUCAGGGACUUAGAAUCAAUAUUUACAUGAAGUUUUAAUCAAAAAUUACUUAGAAAUAUUUAAUACUUCCAAGGUUUAAAAUGAAAUUUUUUAAGUAUUAAUCUAAGUAUUCAUUAUAACUUCAAAGGGAUUAAAUUAUCUAUGAAGUUAUUCAUUAAGGGUUCAAAGGAUAUUUUUACAGUGAACAUUUAGUUAAAACUUCAAGGACUUAAAAUUAAUAUUUACAUGAAGUUUUCAAUGCUUAGAAUUGGUUAAUACUUCCAAGGUAAUAUUUAAUACUUCCAAGGUGUAAAAUAAUAUUUUUAUAAGUAUUAAUCUAAGUAUUCAUCAUUUUAUUUUAAGUGAAGUUUUACUACUAAGACUUUAAGGACUAAAAUGAAAAUUUUAAAUCUUUUAAAACUUAGUGAAUAUUUACAUGAUUAUAUUUGUCACUAAGACAUAGAUUUUAAAAUUUUAAAUGCUCAAUUUCUCCUUAAAGCAAUUAGUGAAAAUUAUGGAUUUAUACAUAUCAUAUCUUAUGGAUUAUAACAUUAUAAAAUCUUUAAUCCAUACAUGUUAAGAUCAUCUUCAUCCAUAACACACACAUGGAUUAUUAUUCAUUGCAUGAUCUCAACACAAGGCAAUUUAAAUUAUCAUCAUACUUGCCUUAUAAUGUAUAUCAAAAUUGGCUUCAAUCCAAUAUUUUAUCAAUGAGCAUAAAUUACAUGUUAUUUCUCCUUUAUGAUUGACUAACACUCUUAUAAGCAAGACGUCACAUUUGGUCAACCACACAAAUCGAAUUUGUGAUUAAAGCUCAAUGAGGUAUGAAAUUUUAUUUUUCUCCACAAAUUAGAUAUGUCCUAUCAUUAAGGGGGAGAUACUUCACAGGUAUCUAUUUUUAACUUUGUCGAUACCUUAUUGUUUUAAGGGGGAGAAAUCAUGCAUGAUCCACUGCUUUUAAAUUAAAUAUUAUGGGUCAAUAAUUCAGGGGGAGCAUGCUCAUAAGGGUAAAAUAGAAUAUUGACUAGACAUGAGUUAAAACAUAUAUGCCAUCGACAAAGGGGGAGAAUGUAGAAUCAAAAUUGUCGACAUAGGAUUAUAUUUUAAUCAUGUCAAUUUAAACCCUAAUUACACUAUUAAUCAAUAGGGGUUAAAUAAGCCAAUCGAUAUUAAACCUAACUCUAGUUAAUUCAUUAAUCAUUAAUCAUUUGAGUUAAGGGUUUAAGUCAAAGUUAAAAGUCAAAGUGGGAGAAUUGCAUUUUCAUCUUGAAUAUUAUUAAUUGGGAGAAUUGCAUUUUCAUCUUGAAUAUUAUUAAUUGGGAGAAUUGCAUUUUCAUCUUGAAUAUUAUUAAUUGGGAGAAUUACAUUUUCAUCUUGAACUUGAAUAUUAUUAAUUGGGAGAAUUACAUUUUCAUCUUGAAUAUUAUUAAUUGGGAGAAUUGCACUUUCACCUUGAAUAUUAUUAUUUGGAAUAAUUGCAUUUUACCUUGCAUAUUAUUAUUAUUAUCUGGUGACACUUUAUUCAAGGUAUAAUAUUCCAAGGAGACAAAACACUAUUCAAGUUUGAAUUUACAAAGAUAAGAUUCUCCAACAAAGACAAGGAGACAAAACACUAUUCAAGUUUGAAUUUACAAAGAAAAAGAAUUCUCCUACAACGGUAAAAUUCUCUAUUCAAGUUUGAAUUUACAAAGAUUUGAAUUUCUCCAACAAAGACAAGGAGACACAACACUAUCCAAGGCAAACACUAUUCAAAGACAAAGUUUGGAUUUAUGUGAGAAAUCAAGGAGCCAUCCAUUGAAGAUCCAAGGAUGGACAUUGAGUGGCCAAGGCUAUAAAUAGAAGGGUAAUCCCCUCAUUUCCACUCACCACACCAUAAGAAAACUCAAGAGCUUCCACUCCACACUUAUCCACACGUUUUUGCCAUCAAGCUUCCAAGCUUCCAAGUGCUCAAGUGUCCUAGCUUUCCAAAGCUUCAAAAGCUCUCCAACUUCUUCUUCUAAUCUUCUUGGUCAUUUGUACAAGUAAGAAGUGUUGUUUGCUUUGAUAUUCCACUCCUCUAAUCACCUCUUGUGUGUGUCCACUUUGGUUGAGAGGGUUGUCUCAAUAGUACCAAAGUGUGAGGUAAGGUUUCCGAGCUCAACCAUAAAGCUCUGUUUGGUUUUAUAGAGUUUCCAGGAAAACUCUUAGGUGUGAGUCUACCUGUAAAAGACUGGUUCCUAAGCGAAGUAGCCUUAAAGCUUAGAGAGGUUCUUAAGAGUGUCCUUUAAUACUCUAAGGUGUAAGUCUACCCGUAAAAGACUGGUUCCUAAGCGUAGUAGCCUUAAAGCUUAGAAAGGUUUUUAAGAGUUCCUUGAAUACUCUAAGGUACUAACUUACCCGUAAAAGUUAGAGGUUCUUAAGAGUGCCCUAUAAUACUCUAAGGUGUGAGUCUACCCGUAAAAGACUGGUUCCUAAGCGUAGUAGCCUUAAAGCUUAGAAAGGUUUUNNNNNNNNNNNNNNNNNNNNNNNNNNNNNNNNNNNNNNNNNNNNNNNNNNNNNNNNNNNNNNNNNNNNNNNNNNNNNNNNNNNNNNNNNNNNNNNNNNNNNNNNUGGUUCCUAAGCGUAGUAGCCUUAAAGCUUAGAAAGGUUUUUAAGAGUUCCUUGAAUACUCUAAGGUACUAACUUACCCGUAAAAGUUAGAGGUUCUUAAGAGUGUCCUUUAAUACUCUAAGGUGUAAGUCUACCCGUAAAAGACUGGUUCCUAAGCGUAGUAGCCUUAAAGCUUAGAAAGGUUUUUAAGAGUUCCUUGAAUACUCUAAGGUACUAACUUACCCGUAAAAGUUAGAGGUUCUUAAGAGUGCCCUAUAAUACUCUAAGGUGUGAGUCUACCCGUAAAAGACUGGUUCCUAAGCGUAGUAGCCUUAAAGCUUAGAAAAGGUUUUGCCAUUACCUGUAGACGAGUGAAAUCCGGCAGUGGGUCGGGACUGGACUAGCCCGUGUUUGGGUGAACCAGUAUAAAUCUCUUGUGUUGUUUUCUGUUAAUUUUAGUUCUAUCUUUUGCUUAAAAACAAUACCUAAUUAAAAAGAUCCCUCUUCCAGUUAUCUGGUCAAGAACAGAGGUUGACUACUUUACGCAGAUCCCUCAUCCAGUUAUCUGGUCAACUAUCUGAGGUUACAUUCAUUGUUUUAAAUCUUUAUAUUUGUCCAACUAUUACUUAUCAUAUUUAUCCAGUUAUCUGGUCACUUACUUGUUUAUCAAAUUAUCCAGUUAUCUGGUCACUUAUUUACUUGUCAAUAUAUCCAGUUAUCUGGUCAUUUAUUUACGUAUCAAUUUGUCCAGUUAUCUGGUCAUUUACUCUACAAUACAAUUUGUGUUUUAAAUAUAACUUAGUAUUCAUAUACUAUAGUUGUGUUUGAAACAUUAUCAAGAAAGUUGACUCAGUAUUCAUAUACUGUAGUAAGCUUCACAGAGUAAUACUUAAAUUACUAUAUCAAUUAAAAUAAUAAUAUCCUUAUAUCAUUACUGUUCAACCAUUUGUUUAUUAAGUGUUUACAGGUAAUUCCGCUAUCAACCUGUAUAAAUCGAAAAGAGGCUAUCACCCCCCCUUAUAGCCUCGGAUCACGAUCCAACA